AUGCAUCCUAAGAGUAGUUGCGAGAAAACCUAGAAGCCAAUUGUGCAGCAGUGAGUGAAUUGCACCAAAGGCAACCCCUGCGCGCGUCGCCUUCUCUUCACGCAUAUACGACGCUCCAAUAUCUCCUUCUCCUUUUUUCUGCAUCAUACAACUUUUCACCAGCCAUAGCCGCCUGCAAAAUUGUCCUUACAGCAUUAUCUACUUAUCCUUGUGGCAGUGAGAUGAUGCCAUGUUACAUCUAAAGGACCAUGAGGAUAAAUCUGAGUCGUCCGUUGCACCUGACGUCCGGAUUUUCUGGGAUUUGGAUGAAAUUUCGUACAAACCACAUCCUUUUCCAUUCCUUGGGGAGAUAUUUCAAACUUGAAUGAAGGGGAAUCAUGAUUUUACCCCCAAACAUCUCCAAAUUUCACCCGCCCUUUAUAUUCAUAAACCCUAGAUUUUCUUAUCUAUAGAAACAUCUCUUCCUCUCUAGAUCACGGCAGAUUUUUUUGGGGAGUUCAAAAAAGAAGAAAGUGGGUUUUGGAAAGUAUUACAGAUAAAGGAAUGCAAAACCAUAAAUUUUACUUCAGAAAACAUGCCUUAAAUACUCUUUCCUUCUUCAUUAUUCGUGAUUGGUUGGGAUCUGCAGGAGUUAAUUAGAAUUUUUGAAGUUCGGUGGAGUUGUCUUGUGGUCGUUGUCUCAGUUCGCUGACCCUCGAAAGGUAAUAUCCUCUUCAUAUUAGAUGCAUUUUUUCCCAAAGCGUUAUUUCUUGAUUCUCGACUAUGUGAAGUUAUUUACAUGUGAGAGUUAAAGAUGUGUUUGACUUUGACUUCGUGCAAAUUAAUGGUAAAAUUUGUUCGAUAAGUCCCUUGCUAUGGUUCUUCCUUCAUUUUCAAGAUGGUUUAAUGUUCUUUUGAGCUUAUAUCUCUGUCUGUGCUCUUCUUGAAUUCUUGAAUUCUUGACUUUGAUGCUCACCUCGAAGUUCUUUUUUUUAUUUCAUUUGCUAAUCCAUAGGAUGUGAUCCUAUUUAUUUUUCCCACACUAGUUCCUUUAGCCUAUUACUUGUUUUGAAUGUGUUAAAGGAUUUAUAUCCCUGCUUUUAUCGUGCUUAUUUUCGAGUUUACAUAAUAGUUCCUAUCCAAAUUAGUAUAGCUUAAAAUUUGUUCUUAUUGUCUUAUGGUAUAGCUAAUUGUACCAUUUUUGUUUAUUUGAUUUUGUCUCUAGUUCUUUAGACGUUGUCCAAGCUGGGUUUAAAUGUUUGUUUUCUUUAAAAUUAUGGGUAUUGUUUCGGUUGUUUGGUUCCAAAUGGUACAUAAUGUUGGUCUUGAUUGAUUUGACAUACCUUAGAAUAAAAUCAUGAUAGUAUUUCUGUUACGAGCCGAGGGUAUACACUACAAGUUAUGGCAUCCUCAAAUCAUCACGUGGUGUCGUCGAGAUCUCAGAGGUCUAAGACAAGCCCUUAGACAUCUUUCAUCACAUAAUCGUAAAAAUAGUGGAAAAUUUAAAAUUUUCAUAGCACAUCAUAUACUAGAACAUUACUAUAUAUAUAAAAUAUUAUAAUAUAUAGUUAAAAUCUAAGUCUCUUUGCCAUCUUAGACUCAACACCAAUAGAGUACAAUAGGGACACGGCCCUUAAAAACAUAAGAUAAUAUCUAAGCUAUUACAUAAUUUAAUAGGAACUUGACAUAGGGAAAUCCUUCAAUCAUAAGGAUCCCUCUUCUUGAACUUGGAAGAUCUAUCCAAGCUUUUCACCUACGAGACGUCCUCUUGUCAUCACCACCUACAGUUUGUGUAAAAAGAUGAAAAAGAAUAGUAUUAGUACAAGAAUUCACUACGCAUGGAAAUCAUGCAAAAACUUGCAUUUUUUAAAAAAGUACAUUCAUUUGAAAUCAUUCAACAUGUCUUUUUAGUAAACUUCAUGAACAUAGGCACAUAUAAGCUAAAUAUAUUUCACAUACAUCAUAUACACAUUCAUACUACUCAUAAUAGCACAUAAAGUCAUUUAUCAUACUUUGAGGCUUAUUCAAUACAUACAUGAUAUUACUUCUAUUUUUAUCUUACUUCUGUCCUUUAGUAACCCUCAAGUGUACUUAGUACAAUGUAUCACCUUGAAAUCACCUUACAAUAUCCUUUCAUAUAUAUGCAUCAUAAACACAGCCACAUACAUUCACAAGUCAUAAGCACAUCAUAGACAUCAACUUCACACAAAUACCAUCACCUAAGAAAACUCCUAAGUUACACUAGUGCAAUGUGUACAUCCCAGAAUACUACUUCCACCAAAUGUACCUAAGAAAACACCGUAUACUAGGAAUAACAUACCCAACAAGUCAUAACACUUUCAAUUAUAACUAAACAUAAGGCCACAUACUUCAUAACAACAUAUAAGGACUCUUUUCUUUACUACAAUCUUAGUCAUAAACCAUUUAGUUCAUAUCAUAGGUAAACCACCCUCAUAACCCCUUUAGAAGCUUACUUACAUAAUGUACACAUGGAGUCUCAUACCCCCACAUAUACUAUGUUAACUAACUUAGAAACCAUAAGUGCAAUUCGCAUGCAUACUCAUAAUUCAUAUCUUCACACAGCAAAGUCACUUAACAUGCAUUCAUACAAGUCAUACAUAACAUAAGUCUUUACUUCAUAAGAGGUUCCAAUCCUAUCCUUUCUUGAAGUCAUCUAGUGAAAUGCAUAGAUAGGGUCCACAGUCCUACUUAUGCGAAGUACACUUCUCAAGGAAUUUCGAUUAUAAUAUUCUUAUAUUAGUUAAUUUAUUAACCUUUGGAAAACAUAUCCAUAACCGACAUAGACCAUGUAAGCUGCAUGAAAUCCGGUGUUCUACUCCCACACCAAAAAGAGAGGGGUUAACACUUGCCUAAGGUUCAACCAUUCGUACAUAGCUAUAUCGGUUGAUCCACUAAGCUAGAGUCCUAUGUUGGCCAAUAGUUAAGGGUCAAACAGAUUAUUGCUAGACUUUGACUUGCUGAACGUGAAGGUUUCCAUCUCAUGAGACAAAACAUAUCUUGGGAAUCUGGACUUAAAUUGAAGAAACCCAUGUGGGAGGACGGACUUACUAACGUGAGACUUCCAUCUCAUUUGCAUACCCUUUUGGUGAUAAGCAAAAAACUCCCUUUUAAAACAUCAUUAAGCCUUUAGAUAACAUUAUUUCAUAAAGAUUAGGCCUUUAGGGACUUACUCCCUCAUAUAUCAUAUAGGUCAAACGUAUCUAAGACGAUAAAGUCCUUUCAUCAUAGUAUCUAUAGCAUAUGUGAAUGUCAUUUCACAAAAUCAUAUCAUAUUCAUACUCUAGUCUAGUUUAGAGUACAAUUUAUUAAUACCUUUCAAGAGACUCACUUAUUUAUUAGACCACCAUUACAUACUUCACCUAAGCACCUUUAGGCACACAUGUUCAUAAAUUCAUUAAUCAUAUACUUAACAUGCAUAGAAAUAGGCAAUGAUGCAUAGGAGAACUAUCUUUCCUUAGUCAUCAUUUAUCUAUCCUACUCAUAGAUAUGAAUGGAGUGUAUGUGAGAACUAUCCUUUCCUUAGUCAUCAUGAACCUAUAAUACUCAUAGAUAUGAAUGAAGUGUGUGUGAGUGUACAUUGGUCAAUAUGAUCACAUAAUGACUAGUAGAUAGCAUUGAUGAAGCCAUCCUCUAAAGAUCACAACACAUGUACAACAUUCCUCAAGUAUCAUGUCAUACACACAUAUAUAGAAUUAAUUACAAUAGACUACACACACUCAAAUUAUACCAUAGAAGACAAGAGCAUAUUCAACAUUAGAGUACAAGACUCGUAGCAUAAUUUGAUCACACUUUCAUAUAGGGAUUUAAUAGGUUAGAACCAUGCUAGAAGAAUAUUCAUCAUCAUUAGCCGAAUAGACCACACCUAACCCUAACAUUAUCAUCACACAUAUGCAUAUUACAUCAUCUCCACACCUAGGUCAUACAACUAGUGUGGAAGACUAUUCAUAUACUUCACAUGACAUCAAUUCACUUAGAUAUGAUAUUAGAAUCGAUGCUACAUCCUUCAACUUCCUAAACAUGGAAAUAUUAUAUAAAAUCAUCUUGCAUAUAAUGUCUUCAAGGAUAUGAUCAUAACAUAUAAACAUGUAAAAGAAUGUAAACACCGCCAGCAUAACUGGACCAUACCAAUAAACACAGUUCACUAUACAUUCUAAGCUAAUUAGAGGAGAUAGGUCAAAUUACCAAAUCUCCAAGAUAAUGACCAUUUCUCCAAAAUUAAUAUUCAAUUUAUAUAUAUAGUAAUAGCAACAACCAAUUCAAUAAAAUCUAAUCACAAUUCUAUCAACAUAAAGUCAAGAUCAUAAGACCCACAUUAUGGACCAAUUUGAGAAAUUAGGAGAAUCAUGGGUUCUGCAUGAAAUUUGAUUGAAAUUCAUAAUUAAAACAUUAAUUAAACAUAAUUCCAUCAUUAGAAUGACUUUGAAAUAAAUUUGACAAUGAACUCAUGGGUAGAUUGAAAAUUAGGAAUUUUGGUCUUUGAAUCACUUUUGAAAAUCAUUGAUUUAACUCCUUCGAUGAAUGUAUAACUAAGGAUGAAGGUUCACCAUACCUUAUUUAUUGAAUACCCAUGAAUUGGAGAAAAAACUAUAGAAAUCGAGCCCCUAGCUUGAUCUUGAGUUUUGGUCUCCCGUGGAGGUUUCGGGAGAAGUUGGAAGAGAUGAGAGUUUUGGGGUUUUGAUUUUUCUUAUUGGGUGUUGAGAUUUUGAUGUGGGAAAGGGGUUAAAUAGGUAUUAAAAUAAGUUUAUAAACAUCAUCCAAAGUUACCAAAACAUCCUCAUAUUUAUUUGAACUUUCAGACAUGUCAAACUCAACUUUUAUUUCUGGAAUCUUCGUAGUGGAGCAGUUCCCGCAUGAAUUUUUUUGAAAAUAACUUCAGGUACAAUUGAAUCUAUUUUGUGUACCUGACGCGGACCAACAUUAUUACCUAUGAACGGCCAAGUCCGCGAUACGGACCUAUUUCACCAAGGAACAAAAAUUGUUGUCUUGGUCAUCUUGUUUGCCCAAGGUUGGGUCCUCCUCAAGGACCCUUUGGUUAAUCCUUGGGGAGUUUUUCCCGGAUGUUUCCACCUAAAAUACUCAUUUAUACAUGUUAGAAACCUCUCGUAUUAAUUUUAACUCCAAAAAACACAUAAAACAAGCAAAAACACACAGAGACACACAAGCACAUUGCAAGGCAACACUUUCGAAUGUCUUGGACGUUUGACCUCCAAACAUAAUACACUACCUUUUAAAACUACAAUUAGUCAUUUAAGGAUCUAAUUAACUCAUAACCAACAUGUUAGUCUCUAAUUCAACCUAGAUCAUUUUGAGGGUGUAACACUUUUCUUGGUUACAAGAUGCAUAAAAUAUGUCGUAGUCCAUGUUCAUUCAUUUCAUUUUUUGUGUUUAUUCCUUUAGGGCAAAUGAAUAUUCCCUAUUUUCUACUGGAGAUCCCCGUGAGAUUCAUGUAUAUCUUUAACAAAUUUCAAUAAUGUUGGAAGUACAUGAAACUUUGAAUGUACAUCCAUAAUUCUAGCUUGUUUUCUUCAUCAAUCUUACCAUAUUUCAAUAUUUGUUAAGGAUGUUGUUUAUUUUAUUUUAUUUUGUUCUUUUUUCUUGCUUUGGUGAUCACCGGCUUUUAUUUCCCUUCUCUAUAUAGCUUGAUUAGGUGUCGUUAAGACUAAAAUCGGUGAUAAGAAAGAUGCCCAGAUGAUGUCUAUAUUAGACAAUAUUCGUGUGUAAAAUUUGAAUUACUGACGAUACAUUUCUUACUAUUAUAUUUGUUUAGAAAUCUCACCUACAAAUGAUAAUUUAUUUAUUACUUUGGACUAAAUCCUACAUGUUUUACUUGUUUAUAAUGUUAUUUUAAAAGUUCAAAAAGGGGAUUGGAAAAUCUGUUUCAUUUUACUUUAACUACUGAUUGUAGGCUUGUUUUAGCUAACAAUUCUUGGGCUUUGAGACAAAUAUACAAUAGUCACACUUAGUAGAUGACAUAUUUGUUCAUUAUCUCUUUGAACUUGCCUAGUAAUGAUUUUAAUCUUGUAAUAUUGAAACAUUUAUGUUAAAAGCCUAUAAUUUUACAUCUCAUAUGACCUUUGUUCCAAUGCUUAGUCUUGAUUACUGUUCCCCAUUCAUGAUACAUACAAAUUAACAAGUCUUCAUCUAUUUUUCCUUUUAAUUUUUCCUUUUAAUUUUUGUAUUGUUAAUGACUAAUCAGUAUGUUAUUUUGUUUGCGAAUCUAUUUUUAUCUUACCACUUCAUUCCUUUCCAAAAGAUGCUAAUUUUGUUACUUAUUUAUCGUUCUUGCAUGUGAAAUAUGUCCGAGUUCAUCAUGAACUCUUAUCUUUUCCUUGAAUUUAGAGAGAUUCGUAAAGGCUUGAUUCCCCUUAUUAGAGUCAGCCCGUCAAAUCAAAGAAUGAGUUUCAAAAAAAGGUGUACAGGUUCCCGAAUGGAAAGAAACCUAACUGGAAGAAGUUGAAGAUUUUGGGCCAACAAGCCAAAAUUUAUUUUCUAAAUUUUGUAUUUAGUUAUGUUGGGCCUAAGUACUUUUUGAUAUUAUCAUUAUUGUAUUGUUAGAAUUUUAGGACAUGUAGAAACGGGCCAAAGUCCCAAAAUGAAAUUGGUCCAAAUACGGUCCAGGCGGACAGAAACUAGAUUUGAACCCAACUCUCUCUCUCUCUCUCUCUCUCUCUUUCUUUCCCUCUUUACAUUAUUACACUUACUUACUUGUUCUUAAUUGUCUUUAGUCUUAGAGUCGGAAAAUUCGAAAUCCUGCAAGACUUAAGUUAUGUUUUUAUUAUUUGAACUAAAUCAACCAAGUAUAAGUGGACUUAAAAAAUAAUAAAUUUUGCAAAGUAAAAACC
rnacentral:lncRNA from 1 species